UACAGAGGGUGCAAGCGUUGUCCGGAAUUACUGGGCGUAAAGCGCGCGUAGGCGGACCUGCAAGUCGGGGGUGAAAGCCCGAGGCUCAACCUCGGAACUGCCUUCGAUACUGCGGGUCUCGAGUCCGGGAGAGGUGAGUGGAAUUCCUAGUGUAGAGGUGAAAUUCGUAGAUAUUCGCAAGAACACCAGUGGCGAAGGCGGCUUACUGGUCCGGUUCUGACGCUGAGGCGCGAAAGCGUGGGGAGCAAACAGG
rnacentral:rRNA from 1 species